GAGUUUGAUCGUGGCUCAGAUUGAACGCUGGCGGCAUGCCUUACACAUGCAAGUCGAACGGCAGCAUGAUCUAGCUUGCUAGAUUGAUGGCGAGUGGCGGACGGGUGAGUAAUACAUCGGAACGUGCCCUGUAGUGGGGGAUAACUAGUCGAAAGAUUAGCUAAUACCGCAUACGACCUGAGGGUGAAAGUGGGGGACCGCAAGGCCUCAUGCUAUAGGAGCGGCCGAUGUCUGAUUAGCUAGUUGGUGGGGUAAAGGCCCACCAAGGCGACGAUCAGUAGCUGGUCUGAGAGGACGAUCAGCCACACUGGGACUGAGACACGGCCCAGACUCCUACGGGAGGCAGCAGUGGGGAAUUUUGGACAAUGGGCGAAAGCCUGAUCCAGCAAUGCCGCGUGUGUGAAGAAGGCCUCGGUGUAAG
rnacentral:rRNA from 1 species